rnacentral:rRNA from 1 species
AUUGAACGCUGGCGGCAGGCCUAACACAUGCAAGUCGAACGGUAGCACAGAGAGCUUGCUCUCGGGUGACGAGUGGCGGACGGGUGAGUAACGUCUGGGAAACUGCCCGAUGGAGGGAGAUAACUACUGGAAACGGUAGCUAAUACCGCAUAACGUCGCAAGACCAAAGUGGGGGACCUUCGGGCCUCACACCAUCGGAUGUGCCCAGAUGGGAUUAGCUAGUAGGUGGGGUAACGGCUCACCUAGGCGACGAUCCCUAGCUGGUCUGAGAGGAUGACCAGCCACACUGGAACUGAGACACGGUCCAGACUCCUACGGGAGGCAGCAGUGGGGAAUAUUGCACAAUGGGCGCAAGCCUGAUGCAGCCAUGCCGCGUGUAUGAAGAAGGCCUUCGGGUUGUAAAGUACUUUCAGCGGGGAGGAAGGCGAUAAGGUUAAUAACCUUGUCGAUUGACGUUACCCGCAGAAGAAGCACCGGCUAACUCCGUGCCAGCCGCCGCAGUAA